AGGAGAGUUGAUGGACCGAGAGGUGAAGAUGGAGCAGGUACAGAUUGGAUUGAUUACGGCGGAAGGAUAAUAACUCACGAAGGGAGCUUGAAGUGGUUUCCUGGCCCUCGAAAUAAGCAGCAGAGGGGACGAGCGGUAUAGAAUACCGGUCUUGUGAACAUCAGAGGAUGUCAUGCGGCAGGGUUGCCAGUAACUCCCACGUACACGGGGCGAAGAGGAACAAGCGUGUACUUACA
rnacentral:sRNA from 12 species